UUCUCAAUCUGGUCGGAAAAAAAGCUUUGGAGAAUCAAUUUGAUACACCACACAAAACGUUCGAAAGUCCUCAGCUAUCAAGAGAGUUAUAUAAUCAUUGGACAAUAGGGAAUAUUAUGUUCUAUUCAAACGCAAUCAAAAUACGCUGAGUUGAUUAGAGCCUGCUAAUAAGUAUAGCUCUGAAGGAUUUUACCGUCUCCAAAAUAAAUAGUUUUACCGCUUAAAUAAAUAAGGCAUCAAGUUUGACCUUUCCUUUGAGAUUCAAUUGCAUUAAUUUCAAUCAUAAUCCAGCCACUCUUUGAUUUAAUUACAGUUUUCUUUAUUAAGGUCAAUUCAUUUUUUUCUUGAUCGUUUCUCCAUAAUGGGUAACCUUGGAUACAAACUUAUUUUUCUAAUUUCCCUCCAAAUUGUUUCUUUGACAUGUUUGGACAUCGAGUUCGGAGAGUGUCCCACGUAUCUAAUUCCGACUCAUAUUUUGAAGGAGUCGACUGCAGGAAGAUGGUAUCAAAUAGCAACUUUCAAUCCCAGCUUUGGCGACAGACUUAGACCUUGUGUUUAUGUCGACAUUGAUUUGAACAAAAAUUUCUUAGGACAUCUUACCAUUGAAAUCAACACAACUACUUACGACAAAAUCCAAAAUUCUUUUACGAAGACUCAUCUGAAAGGAAGACAAGCUGCUAUUCAUUGGGGCACCGGUAUUGGGGAAUUCCAGUUACACAAUGGAAAUCUAACUGUGACCGAUGAAAAAACCUAUGCGAACUUCCACAUUGUAUACACCAAUGACAAAUACCUUCUUGUUUACUUUUGCAACGAACUGGCCAACUUCUACCAUAUUCGACACGCUUGGAUUCUUUCACGAGAUAGGAAUGUUGGGCAAAAUAAUUUAGAGUAUCUGAAAACAAUCAUGAGCUUCAUGACUGGAACUGAUAUUUUAGAAGACAACUUUGCAGACUUUGAUAAACUGCAGUGUCCGUUAGAAAUUACUAAAUAGAAGUCAAGAGAUUACGAAUCACAUUAAAUGUUUUAUAUUGUUGUGAUACAAUUUAUUGGACGGUUAGUAUGGUGA